AACGAACGCUGGCGGCAGGCCUAACACAUGCAAGUCGAACGUGAAGCCACCUUCGGGUGGUGGAAAGUGGCAGACGGGUGAGUAACGCGUGGGAACGUGCCCUUCGGUUCGGGAUAACCCAGGGAAACUUGGGCUAAUACCGGAUACGCCCUCCGGGGGAAAGAUUCAUCGCCGAAAGAUCGGCCCGCGUCGGAUUAGCUAGUUGGUGGGGUAAUUGCCUACCAAGGCGACGAUCCGUAGCUGGUCUGAGAGGAUGAUCAGCCAUACUGGGACUGAGACACGGCCCAGACUCCUACGGGAGGCAGCAGUGGGGAAUAUUGGACAAUGGGCGCAAGCCUGAUCCAGCCAUGCCGCGUGGGUGAAGAAGGCCCUAGGGUUGUAAAUCCCUUUCAGCGGGGAAGAUAAUGACGGUACCCGCAGAAGAAGCCCCGGCUAACUCCGUG
rnacentral:rRNA from 1 species